AUUGAACGCUGGCGGCAGGCCUAACACAUGCAAGUCGAGCGGUAGAGAGAAGCUUGCUUCUCUUGAGAGCGGCGGACGGGUGAGUAAUGCCUAGGAAUCUGCCUGGUAGUGGGGGAUGAAGUUCGGAAACGGACGCUAAUACCGCAUACGUCCUACGGGAGAAAGCAGGGGACCUUCGGGCCUUGCGCUAUCAGAUGAGCCUAGGUCGGAUUAGCUAGUUGGUGAGGUAAUGGCUCACCAAGGCGACGAUCCGUAACUGGUCUGAGAGGAUGAUCAGUCACACUGGAACUGAGACACGGUCCAGACUCCUACGGGAGGCAGCAGUGGGGAAUAUUGGACAAUGGGCGAAAGCCUGAUCCAGCCAUGCCGCGUGUGUGAAGAAGGUCUUCGGAUUGUAAAGCACUUUAAGUUGGGAGGAAGGGUUGUAGAUUAAUACUCUGCAAUUUUGACGUUACCGACAGAAUAAGCACCGGCUACCUCUGUGCCAGCCGCCGCCGUAA
rnacentral:rRNA from 1 species